AUGCUGCUGCCCUGCCUUUGCAGUCAGCCCCUGCAACCCUUUUUCCUGCUCUGUACUUCCUGUCGGAGGCCUCCACCGCGUGUGCGUCCAGCGCCUCCGUGUUUCUUCAUUGUUAUGCCAAGUUCCACCACCGACGACCAUUUCCAUUUUGGAUACGCCAAGACCCGGACCAUCAAGUACCAUGACGUCUGUCGAUUGCCAAGUACCCCUUCGGAUAUGCAAGUCCCUCGAAGGUAUGCCAAUGCCUAG
rnacentral:rRNA from 1 species